UGGUGGAGUGAUUUGUCUGGUUAAUUCCGAUAACGAACGAGACCGCUUCUUGUUAAAUAGUAGUCAUAAACUUCUAAAUAGGUGAAGGAGAUUGGCUUGGCUAGCUGGGGCAACUCAGUCUAGUCGACUGGUCUUUGGAUCCUUGAUGAUUUGUGAUUAUCAACUUCUUAAAGGGACUGUCGGUGAUUAACCGAAGGAAGUGCGGCAAUAACA
rnacentral:rRNA from 1 species